UAUGGCCAUAUCACAUUGAAACACCAGUUCUCAUAUGAUCACCGGAGUUAAGCAACAUCAAACCUGGUCAUUACCUAGAUGGGAGACCACUUGGGAAUACUAGAUGCAGU